AUAAUAUAGGUUUCAUAGAAAGAAAAUGACAGUGGUCACACACAUAUUACAUUAUAAUUAUGAAAUCAUGAAGUUCAUAUGUUUAGAUCAGCUGUAGAUAUUUCUAAUUUGCAAGCCUACUUGUAAGUGGCUAAAAAUUGGUAGACUAUUUACAUGCAUUUGUGUUGUAAAUUGGGGAAAGUAGCUCUUCAGUCUUCAGUUAGAAAUGUUCCUCUUCACAAGUAUUGGUCAGAAUAAAAGCAGGUAGACAGGUCCAGCACAAUCUCUUGAUUUAGCUAUAUAGCUUGAAAAAGCUAUAUAGCUUUAUAAAGCUAUUCAAAAUAGCUUAAUAAAGCUAUUUAUAUGCAGUUUUUAAAGAAAAUAUUUAUUGUAAGAAAUGGACGAAAAAUCGUAAUUAACUUGCUACUCAUAUUUGUGCCAUUGACCAUUAUAAACUUGACCCAAAUUAAAGAUAGAUUUAACUCUGCAGCUUUUAAACACUUUUAAGCAAAAACUAUAUUUCCAUUGUUUGGGUAACUGUUCACCACUUUGUGUGCAAUGAAGCGUGGAUAAGUAUGAUUUCAUUGUGAUAAAUUAUUACCAAUCAAUUAUCUUGUUCACCAUAACUGACCUCCUUUAUAUUUCAUUCAAGAAGUAACUGUGUGGUCAUGAAUCAGUUGCCCCAAAACUUAUAGUGCAAAGUCUCUUAAGGAGACGCAAACUUAUGAGUAAUCUUUACAUGCAUUGUUUACAGAACAGUUCAAAGUUGAAAAUUAUCACUGCACUAAAGUGCGAUUUUUUAUACAUACUGAAAAAAUUACACAUUUAAGAAAAAUAUAUGACAAAAUAGCUAAAUGAAGCUACUCUUAAUAGCUUAAUAAAGCUAUUUAGCUUAUUCAAGCUAUAUAGCUAAAUCUGGAGAUUGUACUGGACCUGGUAGAGAUUGAUGGCUAUCAUUACUCUCUGAUUAUUGUUAAUUUUUCGAGUUUAGAAAUUUCAAUUGAUGCUUAUUACCAUGAUACUUUAACACCUUCUAAUCUAAAUACUUGUACGAGUACACUGAGUGUUUGUGCUCUUUUCAUAUGCAAUUGUGCACAUAUGUAGAGUAAACGCCGUAAGUCUGCAGUGCACAAGAGGGGUAGUGGAAGUAAAAAAAAAGUGGCAAGACAUGCAGUCUGCCGUCAAGAAGAAGGAAGCUCAACGGAGGAAAAACUUGACGCAAACUGGAGGAGGGCCUUCACAGCUCCCCAUGGUGAAGCCUUGGGAGGAGAAAGUUUGUUGAACAUGCCAUUAUUCUAUUUCAAUCUUUACAGUGUUAAAAGGCAAUCCAAACCUUCAAGAAGUAUUUCAUACUGUUGUAUUCAUAUGUUAAUUUGUUACAAGUGAUCCUUACAAGGAUAUUAAGGUAGGUCCGUAACAAUGAAAUGAUAAACUUCAAGUUGAAGAUAUCCAUGGUGUAACAUACAAAGACAAGCUGUUAUUGUGUCAAUUUGUGUGUACUGGUCCAUUGAUUUAGCAAUUACAAAAGCCCAAAUGGUAUUGUUUUGGGGGUAUAAUUGACAAUAUGAUAUAAAAUUAAUAUUUAGCUACAUGCUAAGGUUCUGUCAUUUAGUGAAUGAAUGCUUGAAAUUUGUAAAUGUCUGAGAAGACAGAUCAUUGUGGGUAAGUAUGAACUAACCAGUAUUGAUGCUUCACUGACAAUCUCUCGUGAACAUAUGUUGUUCUGUGUAAGUCCUUGUCUGUCCUUUUAUGUACCCUAAAUGUAUAUAACUGUCUUAGGAGAUAAUGGGUUCAAAUCCCAUCACUACUGCACAUGUUUUCAAGUAGUGUUUUAAGGUAGGUCUCCAAGUUCUAGUAUCAACUAAUAUAACUGUUAUGUUUGCAUGCUGUUUUAUUUCUCCCUUGUUUUGUCUCCAACAUCAAUCCAAUUUAAAUCUAAAUGAUAUUGUUUAUAAAAUUGUUAUUAAUUAUGAAUCAUUUGCUUUACAAAAAAAUGAAGAUGAAAUGAAAAUGAUUUUUUUUCAAAUGCUUCUGACAGGAUGCUUUAUUUAUAACUCCUUUUUCUUUAUGGAAUGAAUUGUAAAUUGUCAGACUAUAGUAAGGAAAUAUGUACUUUCAACUCCAUGAAAAUUUUAGAUAUUGCAGUUGAUUCCUCAGUCAGCCAUAUCUGGAAUUGAGGAUGGGGUGGACACCAGUGAAGUCAGGUCUUCCCUUCAGAUGUCCCAAAAACCAAGUUGCCUUGAGAUACAGCCAUUUAUUGUCACUGAGGUUCCAGCUGAAGAACUUGAAAAUCUAGACACUAAUAGUGAUGUGCCAGUCGUCUCUCAAUCUGAAGUUUCAGCAUUGAAAGUGUCAUUAUCAGAGAAGAUGGGUACUUGUCCCAUUGCUGGUGCUGGAAUGCGGUCUUCGAUGGCCCUGUUGUGGAGGCGGCAGCAACAUUCGAUGAUCCUCACACAUUUUGAAGGGGUGUAGGCCAAAGCUCCUCCUGUUUUGUGCAGACAUCUGUAACAGAAUAUUGACGUUAUGAUUAACAUGGAUAUGAAUUAUGAUCCGUCACCAAGUCAUGCGUUUGUUGGAAAGUAUAAAUUUAUGCAUUGUCAAGUCCCAAACAUUAUUUUGUAUUUUUUCAAAGAAUUUUGCAUGUUUUUGCAACUAUUUGUAUGGCCCAUUUGUAAAUGGGUUAGUGAUGUUUUAAAAAUAAUUUUGUAAAAAAUGAAUUUGAAAUAAUUUUAUGAUUUGGGUGUUCUGUAUCUAAUUCUCCCUUUUCUGUAUUGUAAGCUCAUCAUCAUCGGAUGGGGGAGCGAUGUUGUCCCAUUAGAAGUGCAGUCUUGGGAAAAAGUUAAAUUAAAGAAAUAAAGAGAAGAUAAAAGAGAAGUGUUACCCAGGACACCAAAAGCCCUCUCAACACAGUUUCUUGUCUUAAUGUGACUGGCAUUGUAUUUCUCCUGCUGUCCUGCUUGGGGUGUGAGGAAAGGAGUCAUUAACCAUGGACGAAGGGGGUAGCCACUGUCCCCUAAAAGCCAUCCUCCACCUGGCAGCUGGUCCAUUAUCUCGGGAAUGCACGAGUUUGCAAGUCAGCCGUCACGAUUCCCUGCAUAUUUAUGGCAUGAAAUCCUUUCCUGCACACAAAAACAUGCUCAUCGUCUCCAGUCAUUCCCAUGAUUGGAAUCAGAGUUCCAUCAAUGGCACCAACUACGUUGGGGAAGUUUGCCA